AAAUCAUCAAGAGUGGUGGAGGGACUGGCCCUUUGAUACCCGGCAACCUACUUAAACAUUUAGUAAGGUGCUAAUUCCAGCAUUUCCAGUGGGGAAUGAUAGAUGAGAG
rnacentral:ncRNA from 1 species